rnacentral:rRNA from 1 species
UACAGAGGUCUCAAGCGUUGUUCGGAUUCAUUGGGCGUAAAGGGUGCGUAGGCGGCGCGGUAAGUCGGGUGUGAAAUCUUGGAGCUUAACUCCGAAACUGCAUUCGAUACUGCCGUGCUUGAGGACUGGAGAGGAGACUGGAAUUUACGGUGUAGCGGUGAAAUGCGUAGAUAUCGUAAGGAAGACCAGUGGCGAAGGCGGGUCUCUGGACAGUUCCUGACGCUGAAGGCACGAAGGCCAGGGGGAGCAAACGGGAUUAGA